rfam:Atta colombica contig514, whole genome shotgun sequence.
UCCCUGGUUGAUCCUGCCAGUAGUCAUAUGCUUGUCUCAAAGAUUAAGCCAUGCAUGUCUCAGUGCAUGCCGAAUUAAGGUGAAACCGCGAAUGGCUCAUUAAAUCAGUUAUGGUUCAUUAGAUUGUACCCACAUUUACUUGGAUAACUGUGGUAAUUCUAGAGCUAAUACAUGCAAAACAGAGUCCCGACCAGUGAUGGAAGGGACGCUUUUAUUAGAUCAAAACCAAUCGGUGGCGGGCGGUUGUCCGUCCGUCCACCGUUUAUUUUGGUGACUCUGAAUAACUUUGUGCUGAUCGC